UCCCUUUCUCUUUUCUUAGAAUAUUUGAAAAUCUUAUCAUAUCUAUAAUUAAUGCCACAUAUUUGUUUAAGAACUUUAAUUCUAGAUGAUGGUACUAAGGAUAGAUCGUAAACCUAUAGUACCAUCAAAUAGAUCUUUCUGAAAUCGAAAUGGAUGGUUUGCUUCCAACCAUCGAUAAUGGCCCAUAUAGUAGAACUUCCCUCCAUAAUUUAACCAAUGUGAAUAGGUUAAAUUCCCAUCAAAGGGAUAUGCAACACGCUCUUUAGUGCUCUAAUCAAAUAAACCAGCAUGUGCGGAAAAAUUAUUGAUAGUCUAAAUAAGAGCCACCCUCAAUUUGAAUGUUGGACCAUCGAAAGCAGCACAUAUAUUGAUAUCCUCCCAUAGUUGUUUCAAUUUCUCUACUAAAGGUUGCAAAAAGAUAUCAAUAUCAUUACUUG
rnacentral:lncRNA from 1 species